GAGCGGACCCCCGGGGCUAGCCGGCCCGCUCGCCGCCAUUGUGGAUACCCUUAUUCCAAAACUAAAAUCGGUCAACUCUUUUCCCCUUUCUUCCUUCUCAUUUUCAAAAUCCCCAAUUUAGCUAGGAACCCUAGCUCUCUUUCUCUCCCUCAUUCUCGGCUCCUCUUGGCGGCGUAACAUUGCCGCCUCCGUCGCUCACGGCUCACGGCGCCACCACCAGCCGCCGUUUCCUCUGACGACGUCACGACGGAGCUCUUUGUCUCCCGUCGCGCAUCGCCGGACGACCUCCCUCUAAGCUAAGUCUUUUAUCCUAUCUUAUUUCAAUUAGGCUUCACGGGCAGUAGCUAUGGAGGCUCUCUAUUUUGGUGUUGGGAGUAUUUAAAUUCUAUAAAAGCAUGUUCUUAUUCUAAAUAUAUCACGUCACAAAAUUAAAACUUGACAGUAGUUUUGUUAAGAUGGAGUUCUGGUGUUCUCUGUGAAGAAAUCAUGGUUGUGGGUUUAUAACUAUGUGAUGACAUGGAGCAAAUUUGAGACUUUGGGUGAGGAGUGUGUUACCUCUUGAAAAUGACAGUAGCUUGAAUUUCUAGUUUCCAAAAUCCUCAAAGUUCACUCCCUGGGAAGAAAGAAGAAAAUGUUACCUAUGGGUUGGGAGCUGUCUGCAAGAACUCUGCAGAAACUCUACUCCAAGCUCUCACACUCUCAAACUUGCUAUUGUGGCUGAAAUUUCAAAUUGUGUGGGGGGUGUCUAACGGUGGUAUGGAGAGGGUUUUAUAGGCAAGAAAGAUGUACGUAGAAGAAUUAAAUGGGCUGUCCAGCCUCUUUGUUUUAAUUUUGCUGAAAAUCCCUUGUUGGUGAUCCUCACCACCCUUUCAAUUAUUUCAUUCGUCUCUUUCUUGGAGCAUAAGUACUCCCUUCAUUAAGGUUACUUGUUUGGAUGUGCAGGGAGAGCAGGUGGCUGUUAGGAACAGGUACUGCAGGGCUGACCUUGCCAUUUUCUAACUCUCUCUUCACUAAGUGGUGCAGCGGCUGUUUGAGGGAGGGAGAAUGCAGGCUUUGACUUGCCUCUUUAGGCAAGUUCUUGGUCUACCAUGCUAAAAGAAGUGGGCAAAACCUGGGCUGCCGCAUUGUUUCCGGGCUUGGCCCACUGCCCUCGGCCCGACGGAUUGCUCAAAAACGAGCCGUGAUUUCGGGCCUGAAGGAGAGGCCCGAAGUGCCAUUAAAAUUCUUAUAUUUCGUUUCCUUUCUUCGUGUAAUUAGUUGAUAGCUUAUUGUGUAUGUAAAAGACAUUCAAACUCCUUUGGUUCGAAAUAAACUCUUGUUUUCUCUUCUAUAAA